AGAAAACAACAAGGCAGCUGGUUAUAAACAUUUCCUGAAUGUGGCUCAAUUCUGUAUGCUUCAGUUUCACCAGAAUUGCAUGUCUGUUGUCUAUGAGGCCUUGGAGGAGGACAGGAAAAUGCCUGUUACCCAGAGUAGAGAGAGGCAGCGCAAAGCCACAAAAAUCAAGACAUGUAAGUGGCAACAAAGAAACAAAAGCAGAAUGUUAUGGAAAUGGCUUCACAAUGGCAGUGACUCGCUGAACCUUAAAGGACAGGGUAGGAUUUCCUUAAGGAUGUGGGAGUAUAGUAUUAGGGAGCAUUCUACUGGGGAACCACGUGCCAAAUACACAGUCCUGGAUGGCAGGUAAAUUAGCACACACUUCUAGAAGUCCAUGGGAGAUGACGCGUUUGGGUUUUUGUAGAAAAUGUGACUCAACAAAGGUGAUGAAGAACAACUGGCUGUGGUGCAUAGCAUUCACUAGGGGGAUGAGGGAAACGAGACAGGAAGCAGCUGCAAGCAUCUAAGGUGGGAGACAGUCAAGACCUGAAUGAGGCAGUGUAGCUGCUAAGAAGACAGAUGGAAAAGAUAAUGUUCUUAAACUACUGAAAUUAAUCAAAAAAUAAUUUUACACCGGUUACAUGUGGAAAUGGUAAUAUUUUAGAUAAGUUAAAACCUUAUCAAAAUUGUUUUUCAUUUUAAUUGUGGCUGCUACGAAGUAUAGAAUUAAUGUGCAGCUUGCAUUAUUGGACAGUGCUGCUCUAGAGGGAGAGACCCAUGGGGAGGAAGCCCAGAAAAAGGUAGUUUGUCAUGAAUACUCUCAGCUCUUCUGUUGACCCACUUACUCACUUGUAUUUCAAGAAGUUAAAGCAGACGAUCAGAAUGGUCAGAAUUUGAUAUCUGUUGAGCUGUGUGUGUGGUUAAUGGAGACAGAUGUGCAAAAUAUUGUCUCCAUCUACCAUCUGUACAAUUAAGAAGAACCAGGGCAUCAUCUCUCACUUCCUUUUGCCUGGUGAAACCACCCAAAGUGCCUGCAGCUACCAGCUUCACACCCGCUACGGCGAGGAAGGCACGUUCCAUAUCGGCUGGGUGCAGCUACCGUUUAGAGCUGGCUAAUUCCACGUGGAUACGGACACAUGUGAUGUCUUGGCUGGUCCGUGCCAGGCCCUGACACUGGAACAGCAGUGUGCAAAGUCAUAUUCCAUCUGAUGAGGGGAAAGAAACUAGCCCCUCCCAUAGGAACAUCGCCAAGGAGUUGAAAGUGUGCAUCCUGGUGAGCCUGAAACCAAGGCAGUUUUCUUGAAAAGAGAAAUUUACACAAGUAAACUGUCUUCUCCACCUUUCUCCAGGUGCCGCUAGGACUCUGCCAUUGUCUGCUAUGGGCAACACCAAUGUGGGUCUGGCCUCAGUGAGAUAGCUCAGGCUGAGACUGGGCAGAAUAAAAACACCAUGGAGGGAAGGAUUUUGAGGUCCUAGUUUCCUUAGAACUUAAUUUUUCUAUGGAAAUUAAUGGAAGUUCGUAUUGCUCAUCUGGAGGGUACUGCCAUUCAUUCAUUUAGUUUUUGGUUUAAAUGUAGUGGUCACUGUAAAACCUUCUCUGAUGUGUUCAUCUGGCCAUGAUCUGAAGUAGGAAACGGAAGAGGGGAUGAAUUUCAACCUUGGAAGAAACUCAUCUUUAAGGUAAAGGAAUUAAUAUCCUGCUAUCGCAUUUGAGUCUCUACAAAGCUGGAUCACCCAGCACUUGGUGGAAAGUCUCAGGGAACUGCAUUCAUAGAAGUGGUGGAUAUGGCGUCUUGACAUGCUGGUGGUCUUCUCAUGGACACACCACCCACAUCAGAGGAGAAAGUAUAUUGGGAGGGACUGGGAAUCUGGAUGUUAUUCCCCUCAGUGUUUCCAUAGGGAGGGGCGCGGCUCGGUGGGGUGGGGUGGGGUGGGGAGGGAGAGGACCAUAAAAUGGUCACUGCUGGUCUCCCCGCCACGUUCCUGUGUGCCCUCUCUGGAAGGACUGGUUAAUCCAACUGGUCUAAAUGGGAAAUUCUCUGGGCCAUGUUACCAGUGCUUAGAGAAUUAUUGUACUUCAAAAUGCAUUUUCUUCUCUCACAUUGCCUGUUUCACAGGGCACAGAUAAAUGACGGCAGUGAUCAGGAUGGCCCAAAAGGAGUAUGCUGAAUGAGAGGAGAGCGCCAUGGGUAUAACUUAGGAGAGCAUCAACUUGUCUUCAAGGGGCAGAUGAAUGAAGAGAAGCCAAAGGAAAAAGGUUGGAGAAGAAGAUGUAAAACCAAGCUCAUGGACUGAACAGCCAGGACAGGCCUGUGUCUGUCGUGACCUAGCUGUGCGCCCUGACCAGAUGCUACGUGUCUACCUUCAUACCAGAAAUUAAAGCCUUAAGCCAUCUGCCAAAACGUGAGUGAGGACUCAGGGAACAAAUUCUCUGCUGCAUUCUGCACCUGAAUUCAUAGGGAAUCCAGUCAAGCAGAGGAAGACAACCAUCACAGCAGUGGGGCUCACACGAUGGUCUGCAAAUAAGGUAUGCAGUCAGUGUGAUUCUCAGAGUAUACUAGGAAAACCAACAAUUAUAGUUUAAGAAGAACAUCAUUUGUGUUCAUUCCACAUCAAAUCUAAGGGUGCAUAAUUUCAGAAGGGUGCAUAAUUUGUUUUUGUGGGAUGGUCAUAUCUGUAGCUAAACAUGUCUGACAGAUUCUACAUCCUGGUGAAUAUGUAGUUCAGCACCAGGGAUGAGCCCAGAGCCUAAGACCAAACUCACUUCCCACCUCUGCCACUCACUACUGAAAGAACUUGUCUCUACACCUCACUGGAGAUGUCUAGAAAAUGUUGAUACUAGUAUCUGUCUCAGAUUUGUUACAAGAAUUAAAUUAAAUAGUGUGUUUAAAGUAUUUGGAGCACAGUGAUUAACAAAUAGGAAAUGCUCUGGUAGUGUUGGCAGUCUCUAUUAAAGCAUUAAUUUGGUUGUAGGAUAACACUUUAUACAAACAACUUUAUGCUAGCUAAUUGUUAUUCAUUAAAACAUGAAAUUCUCUUAUAUAGAACUACAGAGCUUAUUGUUUUGUCUAUAAUACAUGGUUGCACAUGAACAAAAAGCAUUUAAGAAUUUAUUACUGCAAAACAAAGAA